CCUACGGGUGGCAGCAGUCGAGAAUCAUUCACAAUGGGGGAAACCCUGAUGGUGCGACGCCGCGUGGGGGAAUGAAGGUCUUCGGAUUGUAAACCCCUGUCAUGUGGGAGCAAAUUAAAAAGAUAGUACCACAAGAGGAAGAGACGGCUAACUCUGUGCCAGCAGCCGCGGUAAUACAGAGGUCUCAAGCGUUGUUCGGAAUCACUGGGCGUAAAGCGUGCGUAGGCUGUUUCGUAAGUCGUGUGUGAAAGGCGCGGACUCAACCCGCGGACGGCACAUGAUACUGCGAGACUAGAGUAAUGGAGGGGGAACCGGAAGUCGCGGUGUAGCAGUGAAAUGCGUAGAUAUCGAGAGGAACACUCGUGGCGAAGGCGGGUUCCUGGACAUUAACUGACGCUGAGGCACGAAGGCCAGGGGAGCGAAAGGGAUUAGAUACCCGGGUAGUC
rnacentral:rRNA from 1 species